AACUUACUCCCUCCGUUCCAAAAUACUUGACUUCCAUUUGUCCAAAAAUGGAUGUUCCUAUAUACUAAAACAUGUCUAGAUACAUCUAUAUUUUAACAAAUGGAAGUCAUGUAUUGUGGAACGGAGGGAGUACAUG
rnacentral:pre_miRNA from 1 species